GUUAGGAAUAUUGGACAAUGGGCGCAAGCCUGAUCCAGCCAUGCCGCGUGAACGAUGAAGGCCUUCGGGUUGUAAAGUUCUUUAGCCGAUGAUUAUAAUGACUGUAGUCGGAAAAUAAGCCCCGGCUAACUUCGUGCCAGCAGCCGCGGUAAUACGAAGGGGGCGAGCGUUAUUCGGAAUCACUGGGCGUAAAGCGUGCGUAGGCGGUCUCGUAAGUUUGGAGUGAAAGCCCAGGGCUCAACCUUGGAAUUGCUCUUAAUACUGGAAGGCUAGAAUCUCGGAGAGGAUAGCGGAAUUUCCAGUGUAGCAGUGAAAUGCGUAGAUAUUGGAAGGAACACCAGUGGCGUAAGCGGCUAUCUGGACGAGUAUUGACGCUGAGGCACGAAAGCGUGGGGAUCAAACAGGAUUAGAAACCCGAGUAGUCC
rnacentral:rRNA from 1 species